rnacentral:lncRNA from 1 species
GGAGCUCUCAGUGAAUCCAGGUGGUUUAGGCAAGACUGGACAUAGCUGGCAGGCAGAGCAGGAGGUACAGCUGGGUCUUGGACAAGCCUUCUGGUCAGCUAAUUUUAAGAUGCCCAGUUAGUCUUAAUUUUCAGUAUAAGUAACAUAAUAUUUGCAGCUUGGAUGCCAAAAUUGUCAGGCAUAGAGGAGGGGAAAAUAUGAAACCCUUCUGUGGAACAGGAUUAGGCAGGAUUAAAGUCUGAAGUGAUCAUGUUGCACUGCGUAGUGGAUACUGCCAGAGCCAACUCAAUAAAACUCAGUGGGACACUUGACAUUGUACAUUUUCAAGCAGCAAGUCAUAAAUCUAUAUUCAUGUGAAAUCUUUUGCAGUCAGCCUGAUGGGAGCAGAACAACUACACAACUUCAGGUUGCUGGUUUGGGGGAAUAAAGCACAAGUUGCUGCCUUGCAGGGAUAGAUUGUUGCUCAGAGAACUGGAAAGCAACUUGAGUGAUGUGGAUAGUUUUGUUUGAAUCAUUCUGCUAAAUGUGGCUUGAUUGUAGGGCAAUGUGAUUGCUACAAACCCAGUAAGAAUCCUUAAAACCUGAGAUUAAAGCCAGCUAUAUAUAUAUUUUUAGCAAGUCAUCCAGAGUUAACUAUAUAUAGAUGGCAGUUUGUACAACAGUUCAAAAUUUGACCGCCCAAAGCACAGAAAUACCUGCUUACCUUUUAUAAAUUAAACCACACACUUAAGUGCUUCACUGAAUGGGAAGUACUUAAGCAUUCUGCUUAAAUAUUGGGUUGAGUCAGGACUAAAUUUGUCUCACUCUGAGUUCAAAAUUACUUCCCUCAGAGCUAGCAUGAGCACUGAAAGACCAGUGUCAAAAAAGAUGGCAUAGAGAAUAUGCAUUCUUGCAUCCACCUUGCAUUGCAUCGUGUGCAUGUGGAGCUGGCUGCAGGUCUGCUGGUGGUGCUGGAUGCACUCUGGAGUUCCUUACUUGAUGGAGUGUUCUUCAAGCUCUGUAUCAAGCAGAUUUCUCAACUAUUGCAGACUCAACUCAGCCAGCCCCCAGCCAUGAGGCUACACAGAGCCUUAAACUCGCACAAGGGAUUUGUGAGCUGCUUGCUUGUUGAGAACAAAUCCUUGUCGAAAGGAACGCAUGACUUGCUGACCCUGGGUUCACAGCGCCUUCAUCCUGACGCUUCCGCACCGCCGAGGAGUCGGCUGCUCCGCAAAAUGAAGUCCCCAGAUUAG